CCCCUCUCAGGGUCUCACCUGGAGAGUUUCCAGCGCUCUACCAGUCUCGACUACGGGAAGGAGAGUCAAGCAGAGGCCUGUCCAUUCCAUUCCUAGCUUGGCCAGUGGCUAGCAAAUGGAAGGCAAUCUGCUAUGUCA